CACGUAGGGCGCAAGCGUUGUCCGGAAUUAUUGGGCGUAAAGAGCUCGUAGGCGGACUGUCACGUCUGCUGUGAAAAGCUGGGGCUUAACCCUGGCCUUGCAGUGGAUACGGGCAGACUAGAGGUAGGUAGAGGAGAAUGGAAUUCCCGGUGUAGCGGUGAAAUGCGCAGAUAUCAGGAGGAACACCGAUGGCGAAGGCAGGUCUCUGGGCAUUAACUGACGCUGAGGAGCGAAAGCAUGGGGAGCGAACAGG
rnacentral:rRNA from 1 species